ensembl:lncRNA
AGUGGUUCACAGAUAAUGUUGCAGACACAAGUGGAUUAGCACAAUUCCAUGAUUUUAUAGAUUGACCAUUUUACAUCCUUUAAAGGAGCCAACCAUGUCUGACUAAUUCUGAGAAGGAGCAACAACCGUAUGCUGUUUCACUCAGGGAGCACCAAUGACCAACAAUUGUACCCUGCAGGAAACACUCAUGCCCGAGUGUUCCCCACAGGGAGCUCCCAUGCCAAGAUUGUUCACUCUAGGAUUAUCUGUACCUGCCUCUUCCACACGGAACCUUCGUGUUCAGAAAGGGCAAUCACCGUCUUCAUGUCUGUUCCAGGAGCGCCGGGAGUAUAAACCUCAAGCCUCCUUGAGACAGAGAGCACCCAGGUGUGUUAAGACCCCAGAGAGAUUAUCUGAGCUUCAGUGUUCCUCACAGGAAGCGCCCCUGUCUGAGGGUUUCUCAGGAACACCUGUGCUGGAGUAUUCUUCUCAAGGAACACCGGUUUCCAUAGAAUCCCUGCAGGGAGUAAACAUGCCUGCUCAGACCCCUCAGGGAGCACCUCUGCUUGAGAGUUUUCCAGAGGGAGGGCCAGUGUUCAAGUGUUUUCAAGAGGGAGCACCAAUGACCAUGUGUUCCCCACAGGCAGCUUCUGUGAUUGAGUGUUCCCCACAGGGAGCUCUGGGAUUAUCUGUACCCACCCUUCAUGUCCAGAAAAGGCGAUCACAGCCUUCAUGUCUGUUUCAGGAGCGCCGGGAGUAUAAGCCUCAAGCCUCCUUGAGACAGAGAGCACCUAAGCCUGUUAAGUUCCCACAGAGAUCACCUGUGCCUGAGUGUUCCUCAGAGGGAGCACCUGUGCUUGAGUGUUCCACUCAGGGAACUCAAGUUUCCACAGGAUCCCUGCAGGGAUUAUAUAUGCCAGCUGAGGCACCACAGGGAGAAUCUGUGCUUGCCGAUUUCCCAAAGGGAUGGCCAUUUUUCAAGUGUUCCCCAGAAGGAUCAUUCAUACCCAAGUGUUCCACACAGGGAGCAUAUGUGUCCAAAUGUUCCACACAGAGAGAAUAUGUGCACACCGGGAGCAUACAAGGAGCAAUGGUGCUUAAGUGUUCCCCACAGGGAGAACCUGUGUUUGGGUUGCCCCCAGCAGAACCGUUUAUUCCCAAAGGUUCCCCUCAGGGAGCAUUUUCCAAUCAUGGAACACCCAUGCCCAAGUUGUUUACCCUGGGAAAAUCUGUACCCAUCUUAUCCACAAAGAAGUACCAGUUACAUAAGUAUCGAACUUUCUUGAGACAGAGAACACACUUGUCUGUCAAGACCGCACAGAAAUCUCCUGUGCCUGAGUUUUCCUCACAGGGAGCACCUGUGACUGAAUGUUUCCCAAAAGAAGCACCCCUGUCUGAGUGUUUCUCAGGAACACCUGUGCUGGAGUAUUCUUCUCAAGGAACACCGGUUUCCACAGGAUCCCUGCAGGGAGUAUACAUACCUGCUAAGACCCCACAGGGAGCACCUCUGCUUGAGAGUUUUCCAGAGGGAGGGCCAGUGUUCAAGUGUUCGCCAGAGGGUUCAUACAUACCCAUGUGUUCUCCACAGGGAGCACCCAUGUCCAAGUGUUCGACACAGGGAGCCCCUGUAUUACAGGAAGAUCCUGUGUCUGGGUGUUUUCAAGAGGGAGCACCAAUGCCCAUGUGCUCCCCACAGGCAGCUUCUGUGACUGAGUGUUCCCCACAGGGAGCUCUGGGAUUAUCUGUACCCACCCUUCAUGUCCAGAAAGGGCGAUCACAGCCUUCAUGUCUGUUUCAGGAGCGCCGGGAGUAUAAGCCUCAAGCCUCCUUGAGACAGAGAGCACCUAAGCCUGUUAAGUCCCCACAGAGAUCACCUGUGCUUGAGUGUUACACUCAGGGAACUCCAGUUUCCACAGAAUCCCUGCAGGGAGUAUAUUUGCCAGCUGAGACCCCACAGGGAGAAUCUGUGCUUGCAAAUUUCCCAGAGGGAGGGCCACUGCUCAAGUGUUCCCCAGAGGGAUCAUUCAUACCCAAGUGUUCCACACAGGGAGCACGUGUGUCCAAAUGUUCCACACAGAGAGAAUAUGUGCACACCGGGAGCAUACAAGGAGCAAUGGUGCUUAAGUGUUCCCCACAGGGAGAACCUGUGUUUGAGUCGCCCCCAGCGGAACCGUUUAUUCCCAAAGGUUCCCCUCAGGGAGCAUUUUCCAAUCAUGGAACACCCAUGCCCAAGUUGUUCACCCUGGGAAUAUCUGUACCCGUCUUAUCCACAAAGGACAAACAGCUACAUAAGUAUCAAGCCUUCUUGAGACAGAGAAAACGCUUGUCUGUCAAGACUGCAAAGAAAUCUCCUGUGCCUGAGUUUUCCUCACAGGGAGCACCUGUGACUGAAUGUUUACCAAAGGAAGCACCCCUGUCUGAGUGUUUCUCAGGAACACCUGUGCUGGAGUAUUCUUCUCAAGGAAAACUGGUUUCCACAGGAUCCCCACAGGAAGUAUACAUGCCUGCUAAGACCCCACAUGAAGCACCUCUGCUUGAGAGUUAUCCAGAGGGAGGGCCGGUGUUUGAGUUACCCCCAGCGGAAGCGUUCACUCCCGAAGGUUCCCCUCAGGGAGCAUCUUCCAAUCAUAGAACACCCAUGCCCAAGUUGUUCACCCUAGGAAUAUCUAUACCCGUCUUAUCCACAAAGAAGUACCAGCUACAUAAGUAUCAAGCUUUCUUGAGACAGAGAACACAUUCAUCUGUCAAGACCGCACAGAAAUCUCCUGUGCCUGAGUUUUCCUCUCAGGGAGUACCUGUGACUGAAUGUUUCCCAAAGGAAGCACCCCUGUCUGAGUGUUUCUCAGGAACACCUGUGCUGGAGUAUUCUUCUCAAGGAACACUGGUUUCCACAGGAUCCACACAGGAAGUAUACAUGGCUGCUAAGACCCCACAGGAAGCACCUCUGCUUGAGAGUUAUUCAGAGGGAGGGCCGGUGUUUGAGUUACCCCCAGCGGAAGUGUUUACUCCCGAAGGUUCCCCUCAGGGAGCAUCAUCCAAUCAUAGAACACCCAUGCCUAAGUUGUUUACCCUAGGAACAUCUGUACCCGUCUUAUCCACAAAGAAAAACCAGCUACAUAAGUGUCAAGCCUUCUUGAGACAGAGAAAAUGCUUGUCUGUCAAGACUGCACAGAAAUCUCCUGUGCCCGAGUCUUCCUCUCAGGGAGCACCUGUGACUGAAUGUUUCCCACAGAAAGAACCCAUUCUUGAGUGUUACCCAGAGGAAGGACCCAUGAUUGUGUAUUCCCUGGAGGAAGAACCCAUGCUUGUGUGUUCCAUAGAUGAAGAACCCAUGUUUGUGUGUUCCCCAGAGGAAGAAUCCGUGAUUGUGUGUUCCCCAGAGGAAGAACCCAUGCUUGUGUGUUCCUCAGAGGAAGAACCCAUGCUUGUGAGUUUCUCAGAAAAAACUUCAGAGUCUGAGUUUUCUCCACAGGAAGCACUCAUGCUUGAGUCUUCCCCUCAGGGAGCAUCUUCCCCUCAUCAAAAACCCUUGCCUGAUGGCUUCCCUCUUGAAGCUUCCAUACCCAAGUUAGUCAGUCUGGCAAUAUCUUCACUCGUUUCUUCCAUAUGGAAGCGCCAGAAGCAUAAGUCUCAACCUUCCUUGAGACAGAGAACACUUUUACCUGCCAGGUCCUCACAGAAAUCACCUGUACCAGAGAGUUCUUCACAAGAUGCGGCCAUGCCUGAGUGUUCCCCUGAGGAAGCAUCCAUGACCACCGGGACCCCACAAAACUUGUCUUGUGACCAUCUUGACAAAGCUACAGUGGAGGCAACAGAACCCUGCAGGUCCCCAUAUAAUAAGGCAAGGAUGUCACAGGGAGUCUCCGAACCUGCCAAGGGUCAAAAAGAAGCAUCCAUGUCUGAGUGUUCCCCAGAGGAAGAAGAACCCAUGCUUGUGUGUUCCAUAGAGGAAGAACCCAUGCUUGUGUGUUACCCAGAGGAAGAACCCAUGCUUGUGUGUUACCCAGAGGAAGAACCCAUGCUUGUGUGUUUCUCAGAGAAAGCACCCAAGCCUGAGUUUCCCCCACAGGAAGCCCUCAUGCCUGAGUCUUACCCUCAGGGAGCAUCUUCCCCUCGUCAAACACCCUCGCCCUCUGGCUUCCCUGAAGAAGCUCCCAUGCCCAAGUUAUUAAAUCUUGGAAUAUCUUCACCCGUUUCUUCCACAAGGAAACACCAGCAGGAUAAGUCUCAAGCUUCCACAAGGAAACACCAGCAGGAUAAGUCUCAAGCUUCCACAACGAAGCACCAGCAGGAUAAGUCUCAAGCUUCCUCGAAACAGAGAAAACUCUUGCCUGUUAAGUCCUCACAGAAAUCACCUGUGCCAGAGAGUUCUUCACAAGGAGCAGCCAUGCCUAAGAGUUCAUCUCAGGAAGCAUCCAUGCACACUGGGACCCCACAAAACCUGUCUUGUGACCAUCUUGACAAAGCUACAGUGGAGGCAACAGAACCCUACAGGUCCCCAUAUAAUAAGGCAAGGAUGUCACAGGGAGUCUCCCAACCUGCCAAGGGUCAAAAAGAAGCACCCAUGCCUGAGUGUUCCUCAGAGGAAGAAGAACCCAUGCUUGUGUGUUACCCAGAGGAAGAACCCAUGCUUGUGUGUUACCCAGAGGAAGAACCCAUGCUUGUGUGUUUCUCAGAGAAAGCAUCCAAGCCUGAGUUUUCCCCACAGGAAGCCCUCAUGCCUGAGUCUUACCCUCAGGAAGUAUCUUCCCCUCGUCAAACACCCUCGCCCUCUGGCAUCCCUGAUGAAGCUCCCAUGCCCAAGUUAUUCAAUCUUGGAAUAUCUUCGCCCGUUUCUUCCACAAGGAAGCACCAGCAGGAUAAGUCUCAAGCUUCCUUGAAACACAGAAAGAAACUAUUGCCCGUCAAGUCCUUACAGAAAUCACCUGUGCCAGAGAGUUCUUCACAAGGAGCAGCCAUGCCUGAGUGUUCCUCUCAGGAAGCAUCCAUGCACACCGGGACCCCACAAAGCCUUUCUCUUCUUACAGUCCAUCUUGACAAAGCAAAGGUGGAGGAACCAUACAGGUCCUCAUUUAAUAAGGCUAGGACGUCACAGGGAGUAUCCCAACCUGCCAAGACUCUGAAAGAAACACCCAUGCCUGAAUGUUCCUCAGAGGAAGAACCCCUGCUUGUGUAUUCCCCGGAGGAAGAACCCAUGAUUGUGUGUUCCCCAGAGGAAGAACCUAUGCUUGUGUGUUCCCUGGAGGAAGAACCCAUGCUUGUGUGUUCCCUGGAGAGACUACCUGAGCCUGAGUUUUCCCCACAGGGAGCACCAACUCUGUCCCUUCAGCAAUACAAUAAAUGUGCUCCAUGCAAAAAACAGCACACAAUAAAAGAUGCGAAGGUACAGCAGAAGCCUCAAAGAAGGAGAAAAAAGAGGAACCAAAGGCAGCAGGCAAGACCUUGUCCGAGCUCCCAACCUAAUCUGAAAAGAAAAUAUGCAUGUAGCAGAAACAAACUGGACAACUUAAAUGUAUGUCAGCUUUCAAGGAGGAAAAAUACAAACAACAGAGGUCAACGCUUCUUUCACCUCAGAGCCUGUCCAUGCAGCCAUAUUUAUUUGAGAAGUCAGCAGUCGAGACAGCGAAACUCUUGUGCCCGUCAACCGCCAAAUGCAGACCAAAUGCAAAGAGCUCAUUGGAACCCUUACCCAAGAUCCUGUCCACGGUACCAACCCAGUUGGUGGAGACAGCAAAACCCGCAUACCCAUCAAAGAGGACCAAUGCAUCUGAGGCAAAGAACUGUAAGACUUCCCCCCAGAGCAUAUCCAUGGCCCAGGCAGUGGAACCCUCAUCGCCCUCAAUCACGACCAUCAGAUCUGGGACAAAGAGCUCAGAGAGCUCCCCCAAGAGCACAUCCAUGGUUCCAGCCAAGUUUGUGGAGGCAACAGAAUGUUUAUGCUUCUCAAUCACAACCACGGCAUCUGGGGCAAAGAGCUAUGAGGCUUCAUCCAAGAACAUAUCCAUGGUCCCAUCCCUAUUUUAGGAGGCAGAAGAACCCUCAUGCCCAUCAAUCACGACCAUCACAUUUAGGGCAAAGAGAACUGAGGGUUCAUCCAAGAGUGCAUCCUUCAGUCCAGCCCCACUUGUGGAGGCAACAGAAUGCUUAUGCCCCUCAAUCAAGACCAUGGCAUCUGGGGCAAAGAGCUCUGAGGCUUCACCCAAGAGCAUAUCUAUGGUCCCAUCCCCAUUUUUGGAGGCAGCAAAAUCCUAAUGCCUAUCAGUCACGACUAUCACAUCUGGGGCAAAGAGCUCUGAGGGUUCACCCAAGAGCCUAUUCAUGAUUCCACUCCAACUCAUGAGUCACCUAGUUCGUAAAAUAUUUGGUGACUAAAAGCCCCAACUGAAAACAUUUUUAUACUUUAGAAAAAUUUACAUUUAUUUUUAUAAUCUGUGCAUUUGUAAGAAAAUAUCUGUGCAUUUGUAAGGAAAUAUCUGCAUUUAUAAGAAAAUGUGCAUUUUUAUGAAAAUAUCUGUGCAUUAGUAAGAAAAUAUCUGUGCAUUUGUAAGAAAGUAUCUCUGCAUUUGUAAAAAAAUAAAUAAAAAUCUGUUAAUUUA